CAGGGAAUCUUGCGCAAUGGGCGAAAGCCUGACGCAGCGACACCGCGUGAGGGAAGAAUGCUUUCGGGUUGUAAACCUCUUUUGUUAGGGAAGAGAAGGGACUGUACCUGACGAAUAAGCCCCGGCUAAUUACGUG
rnacentral:rRNA from 1 species